rnacentral:rRNA from 1 species
UGCUAAGUGUUAGGGGGUUUCCGCCCCUUAGUGCUGCAGCUAACGCAUUAAGCACUCCGCCUGGGGAGUACGGUCGCAAGACUGAAACUCAAAGGAAUUGACGGGGGCCCGCACAAGCGGUGGAGCAUGUGGUUUAAUUCGAAGCAACGCGAAGAACCUUACCAGGUCUUGACAUCCUCUGACAAUCCUAGAGAUAGGACGUCCCCUUCGGGGGCAGAGUGACAGGUGGUGCAUGGUUGUCGC